CACAACAAGAUCUAUUUUGGUCAGAGAUGCCAUGGUGAAACAGCGAUUUUCAAACCGAGGUGAGUAAGUCUUUCUCUUUCCUGCACGUUCAUAAAUCUGAUCAUUUCAAAACAAAGAUGACAGAGAAAAGCACUAAAAUAUGACUCAUGGGUAAAAUUCAAGAUUCCUGAUGCUUCAGUAGACGUGGUGCUGAAUUGAUGAUAUGAUAUGAUGUUUAUGAUGUGAUGCUGCAAAGAGGGCUCUGCGGUGCAUGUCUAAAGGGGACGGGAUGAUUGAUGAUGGUUGACAAACUACUUAUAGCUUAGAUAAAUACUCUAAAGAUAGACUGUCAUUGAAGCUUGAAGCACAAAAUCAUGAAAAUAGUAAAAAUUAAUUUGAUUCUUCAUACUGAUAGUGAUAAUUAAAAACACUUGGCAGCUAAUUAUCUCCAUUUGAGUGACUGCAUUAUAUUGUUUCCGAGGCUUAUGGGAAACAUGUACUCUUGUCACAUGGGUGAUGCAAAAUCAGGAAGCCUGCAUACACAACAAAAGCAAUACUAAAUGCGCAAAUAAACAUGAGUCCAACAACCGAGCACCUUCAUUUCUAAUAUAAAAAAAUGCAAUAGAACUAAAUUUCAUCAACACGAGUCACAAGCCUUCGAAAGGACUUUCUGCUGAGUGCAUAGAAAGCUGGGGGUAGCCUAUAACCACAGUAUCAGUUGUGUUUACAGUUACAGAACAUGGGAAUAAAUCCAAAGAGAGUGCCUGGGUAAACAUUUCCACUGCAGUUGAUUUCAAUAGUAAGAGGAGAAAUAACUGGAAACAGUAGAUACGCUGAGACUAAGGGUAAUGCAUUCAGUCUCAAAUAACAGUUAAGUCUGGGCUCCCCGCCCAGAGUUGCUUACUGAAUACACAAUUUUGUGAGCCUCUAAAGAAGAGGUGGUAAUAUGAUGCAUCACUGCCAAACAUGCACAACGGCAUAAAAAUUGGACAAUCACGGAGCAGAGUCAGUCAAAGAGGAAAAUGAUAAAUAAAUAAACAAAGACUUUGGACAGUGUACAGAUUGUGUCUUAGCUAUUAUCUCUGAAACCAUAUCACUUUUACAGAGACAGUAAAAACCUGGAUGUGAUGCUGCAACAUCAAAUUAAACACAUUUUUAACAUCUGUCCCUCAAUGUCCACUAUGUAGGCAGAUUUUUUUUCUUUACUUCCUUUCAGGUGAGCAGUGGGGAGUCUCAUGGCGUCUUUGUGUCACACUCUCUCUAAGGAGGAGCCCCAUUAAGUUCUUGCAUUGGCACAGAGCAGCUCUCUUUACCUCCACAUGGAUUUUAUAGUUGCUAAAGGCACAAAACUGCGACCAAAGGGGAGAAGAAAUGCUGAGCUGUUGAACAAGUCCAAAAGAAUUGGAAAGGGUUUCUAGUGUUAGUGGUCCCAAAUGUAAAAGCGGUGUUUUUUUCCAGACUGAAAUGGCUUUCAACAGUGGGUCCACACUGUGCCACUGAAAGGGAAAAGAGGAGAACUAAGCCUCAGGAGAUGCGGGCCACUUUAAAGCUAUCAAGCAAAACGGCUGCUAUAGUAACCUUUAUGGAAAGAUGAAGUGCACAAAUGCCGCCAUUAGGGAGAACGGUUGAUCGAUUCUGUUAAGCUGCCAUUAGGAAAAAGGUUGGACAAUUUGUAAAGAGCAUAUAGGGUGAAAAAAAAAACAAGGUUUGUUGGUGUUUUUGACAUUAGGAUGACAAAGUGGCCACUGAAACCUGGUUUAUGCUUCUCUCCUUGGACAGAUUAAGUUAGUGUCCUUGGUAUUAAUACAAAGGCUCCAGCUGUAUUGAAGUGAAGUACAGGGUUGUGGCCGAGGACUAAUCAAUUAGCAGUGACGGAUGACCUUUGCUCCUUGCUGACAAAAGCCGACUCAGCAGGAAGACAACCAGCUCAAAAACAUGAUCUUUUUAAUCUUAGACAUUCAAUAAAAUCCAUGUUGGCGAAUUCAGGUUGAAUAUCCAAGAAACAUUUACCAUGUUCAAAACAUAGACUGUAUGGACAACUUGGUUCCCCCUUCCGUCGGGAUACAGAUUUAAAGCAGAAAAGCUCUGAGUAAUUCUAUGUUUUCUCUAAAUUUCCUAAAACAAACGUUGCCCAGUAGCGUUGUAUGCAGUCGGUGGGAGAGUUGCCGAGAGUCGCUGUGAUGACGCUCAGCUCAGACAGCGUAUCCCCCAAGUAAGCUACGCAAUCUUCAUACGCCCAUAUGUCAAGUGUCAAUCAUGGAAAACGCGAACCCCCUAAUGACUUUUAAAAACGGAGCUGCACAGAAAAAUGAAGACAGUCUUACAAUAACUACAUGUCAACAUCACAAGCAGGGGGGAGAAAAAUGUAUUUUUUGUGUGAUAAAUUUCUAAAGUUUGUCCACAGCCCCAUAAGCUUUGCUGGCGGAGGCGUCCAUUCUAUAUACAGUCUAUGGUUCAAACAUUUUAUUGAUGACACCAUCCUGUAUAUUCAAGUCCACUUCCCACAUUUUUAUUUACUGCACAAUUCAUUGUGCUCCUUUGUAAUUUUGAUGUCUCCAAAAAACACCUUUGUGAUCCCCUAGUUCUGAAUAAUCAAUCAAAAGUGAAGUUCAAUAAAUUAUACCCCCACUUCUCCAUAGUGUUGACAGAGGCCAUCAGUGUCUUUUAAGUGAAUAACAUGUUGUUUAGAUCCAAUUGGAGCCACUAGAUUUGUCUCAUUUUGAAACCUGAGGUCACUGGUAGCUCUAACAAUGGAGGGUGUCACUGCAGAUAAGAGCCAGGUCGAUAUCUGCAGACAGUAAUGAAUUGCUUAUGACAUCAGAGCACUAAUGUUAGCACAAUUGCUCCCUUAGGGCACCGCUGAAAAGCAUAUGGGAUGCCUCCUCACAUUAAAAUCCAUUCCUCCUGCUUUGCAUGCGCUUUACAGAGCACUCAGAUACAGAGUGUGUAAAAACAGAAUAAUGGAUCAUCAUCCUGAGCAUAUGGCAGGUUUAAAAUUAUGAUCUAAACGCCUAUCAGGAUGCCCACUGCAGAGAGCGAUCAUUUGCAUUCAUACCCAUUCUUUAGAAUUAGGUGGAGUGUGUUUUGAAAAGGUCAUUAUAGAAAACUCAGAUAAUCCCCUUUAUUUUAAAUCUGCUGAUUGGAUACUUGUAGCAGCACAGUGAAGCCUGAAAAGCAAUCUCACUUUCUUCCCAGGGAAAAAUACAGUGCUGUAUAUCUCUGUCAUUGCUCCUUGAAUGCAGAGGCAGCGUUUUAUCUACACUUUGGUCUCUUGCGGGGUCUAUUUGGAGAGAUGAAGGCUCUCGAACGAGACUCUGAUAAGAGAAACCCACUUUGUGUCCAUUCAUACACAGCAGCGAAUAGUCCUGUAAUGAAAAGAUCUAUUUUAAAAUUUUUACCCCAUAUAAGACAAGCCUGGUAUUGUUCUACUUCAAAUCUAAAUAUUUUAUCUUUCUAUUUGCAUAUUUAACCACGAGAAAUUAUUAAAUUGGCUUGUGCGAUCUCUCUGAGGGCAUUCAGCCUCUGUUUUUAUGGACACUUACAAAAAGCAAGGGUAAGUGCUCGAUUCUGAUGUAUUGGGAUUCAGUGAAAAUAUUUCUUUCCUAAAAUCAACUAUGAAUGCUUCUUUUGUCGAAUUCUCUGGAUCUCUGAACCGAUCCCUGAGGCUCUUGGGUUUGUGGUGACAUUGCAGCCACAUUCACCUGUGAUCCUGUCCAGCACUUGCUUUGAUUCGCUCUCAAACAUGGAUCGGUUAAAAAAGGCGUUUUGAAUUUCGCUUGGAGCAUUUCUAUAAACCCUCACGAGGUCCAAAACCUCAUUAUACCUCCAAUCAACAAUGUCCUUCAUCCUUACGAGUACUGCCAAAUGGUGUAUGUUAACACUUCCGCCAUGACGGAAAAUGUGCUGGAGAGGGAAUAAAAGUUGUAUAAAGUCGAAUGUGACUUUGGAGAGUGGUCAUGCUUCAUAUUUGUGACAUGUGAAUUGGAGCACAUCUGAGUAGAAAAUAGGAGACUUUCUGUGAUGCUCCUUCUUCACACAGCCAUUAGAAAUCCUAUUUAUGUCCCACGAAAGGGGGAAAAAAAACUGUUGGGGACCAUUUAACUGUACAAGAAAAGGACAAACUCUGAACAUCACUGGACCACAGGCAGUUUUGCAUAUUAUCUGUUACCUGAAUAGGUGACCCUCUGUGUAAUAGCUGGGCUUAUCAAACAGCAAUGCCGACUGUGUCGCUUUUAAAUUGAGGGCAGGAAGUUAAUGCACAGGACUCCUGCAGCCUGAUAAUGCAUGCAGGUAACUUGACUUUGAACAUCUCGGAUUUGUUAUGCUAAUGCUAACAAUGCACAGAAAACGAAAGCGGUCUUCAGAAUUGGUAAGCACUACAGCAGAUUAUAUAUCUGCUGGGCUAAAUCACUAAAUGUUUCAGAGGAUUAAAAUAUUCAGCUGCAGCCUUAAAGAAAAAAAGUAUGUAAAUCUAUGCAAGUUUCAGUGACCUUAAUCUAAAAGUAUAAAUGGUUGUAACCUGAAAACCUGAGCUAAUAAGAGGCUCUGAUCGUCAACUAUGAAAUAUAAAUACAAGCAUAAUAAAAUGUAAAUGAAAAUGCCUGAAUAAAAGUUUACAAACAAGUCCAGUAGAUCAAAAACCCUUAAGGAUUCAUCUUUGGAAGCCUUGUGUUGUUGCAGAAGUUAUGGUAAUGGUUGGUGGGAUUGGGGGUUUGGUUUACAGUCAGACACAAAAAUUGUUAUGUUGCAUGCUAACUAUAGUGUCCAUUGGCAAUACAGUCUACAAAGUUACAUGACACAGACCUGCAAUGCAUUAAAGCUGGCUCAAACAGUGAAGUAUACAAUAACUUAAAGUUGUACUUAUUUUUUUUCUUUGGGUCCAAUAAGUCAAGGAUGGUAGAUCGUCAACUUAGGCUACAAACAUGCUUUUACAAAUGUAAGAGAAGAUUCAUCCACUCUUUGAAAUGAACAGAAAGACUUUUACCGGCAGCUCUCACAUGGAUCUUAAGUUAUCUGAAGACUUUCUGCUUACUAAAGUGACCUAUCAUUCAGGGAAAGCCUGUGCUUAAUUCCUGAACACACAGGGAGAGAGGGAGAGCCUCAUUUCCCAUAACAAACACAUCCCAGACUGCGUCACAGUUGUACAUUCCUGUUAAGACCAUCCUCUUUAAAGGGGAUGGCUGGAGCGGUAUUGAGAUGUGUCAAUAAAACACACAACAGUCAAGGUACAAGCCAUGGAUUUACUUUGCUUUUAACCUUUCAUUUUCAUCACUGACUCUUCUACAUUAACUGUUGGUAUGAUAUAUCCACAGGUUGGAAGUCUAGCUACAGAUCAUACAAAGCUUAUAUUUUGCCAGAUAUCGUAGCAUGGGACCCCCCACACUUUUAUUCAUAAUCGAAAAAAAUCCCCAUCCUCUCACAGUUGUACCAAGCAUGCUCAUUUCAGCUGUAAAAAUGUCUAUUUUAAUAAAGGUUCUUAGGGAGUUACCUAGGCUUUCAGAGUUAGCCUCAAGUGAACACUUAAAGAGCUGUGGUUAUUCCAAUACUUCUCCAUGGUUCCAUUUUCAGCACCUGAGGUGGCUGCUCAGUUUGAUCUUGUUUCAUUGAAUGUGAGAUAUGCAUUCAGUAUUCAAAUUUCUUUCCCUCAUUUUAAAACCAAAACAAGGCAGCCAAAUGUACAGCAGGGAAUCUGUUUUUAAAAAAAAACUGAAGAUGCAAUAAGAGCAUCAGGUUUCUAGUGGAGCAGCUGCACCAGAGUAAGAAAAGUAGGAGACCAUAUCAAAACACCACAAGGCUUCCAUCUGCUAGAUUAAGGGAAAUGAGGAGGAUACAUAAAAACAAAAUGAAAAAUAAAAGUGAAAAAAAUCCACACCCUCAGCUCUACAGGCCAUUAACCGUUGGCACGUAUCAUAGCUGGCUGUUAGAAAAAUACUGCAGACUAAUAAAUCCACAGAUCGUGCUCAUUUCGGUUGCAGAUUUUGUCGCUUCUGUUGUAUUUACGAGCCUUUUGGGAUUUCUGCUGACAUUUAUGACUUCCCAUCAAGAAUUUCUGACACAAGAGUUGGGUAAGAAAAGAGUAAAUAAUGAAAAAAAAGAGAGAAAUCAUAAUAUGAGUAAUGAACAUAUCAAGCAAAAGGGAAAGCAAUGAACUUCAUCCUCUCCUCAUCACUCUAAUUGAUUGAGGGAUCAGCAUUGGUCCUCACUGCGAGCUAACACAAUAAUGAUCUGGAAGGCAUCAGUUCCACAUAUUUACUGUUCCUCCGGCCAGCCAGGGCUUUAAAUAUGAUGACCCAUUAACGGCGCAGGCCUCAUGAAUCUCACACUAUUUUCUGGAGGUGACUGAAUGGGGAAAGGGGACAGACUCUGGCACCAGGGAAAUGAAGAUGGCAUUUAAAUUACGAGUUUUUACUUCAGUGUGCAGCCUCUCUUUGAGAUGGAACUGGCCCAGUAUUGAAUGUUGAGGUUAUAUCUCAGAAAGUCAGUUUUUUGAUUUGCUCACCUCUCCAAGAGAACAUUUUCAGGGACAUCAUGAGCGAAACCGGUCUGUAUAUCAUUUCAUUUGUCUCGAGUAUGGGGAUAUUAUUGAGAAAACUGAGACAGGUUCAGUUCAAGGAGCGAGUCAGUGUAAUAUAUAACAUAAAAAACAAGGAAGUCAUGAUGGCAACUAGAAAUAGGGCUGCAGGAUAUUGCAAAAAUGAACAUCACAAUGUUUUUCUUUCCUUGCACUAUGACAUAGUAAAAGUAUGGUUUGUUUUUUCUUUUUUUUAUAGAAAUUUGUACAAUUAAAAUCUACAAAUCAGACUUUUAAUACUGGGGUCUCAUGGCUAACUGAUUAAAUUCUGAUUAAAGACACAGUAGAGAUUAACUAGGUAGCAGAAUCCCCCAUUUGCAAUGAGCUAAAACUUUCUUUGUUAUGUUUCAAACUUUAAACAUGAACAGAUGGACUAUUGUUGCAUAUUAAUCAUGACAAACUGGCAAGUUUUGUUUUGAAAGUAACACAAAUAAAAUGAAACUUGUAAUGUCUAGAUCUGAUAAUUCACAUCUCAUGUCCUGAGGUGUGAUUGCUGCACAAGCACACAUUUCAAGUCCUACAGUUGUGUAAUAUUUCCUGCAUCCCUGGGGGGAAAUACAGGUUUAUUUUGAAAAUUAGCAUUGACCAGAACACAAUAAAUCGAAGCAAAAUACAAAAUGGUUAGGUGCUGAAGUGUGAAAUGUUUAAGAGAAUACUCCUGACUUCCAAAUCCGGCGGAAAAUUCCAAGCCACUAAGAAAAAAAAACUGUGUGUUUUUCAUUCAUUCCUGACAGUGAUGAAUUGUGAUACAUCUUCAUUUCCAUAUUUUCAUUUCUAGCCCGAAACUUCUCAAAAUGUUGUUGAUAAUGUGGAAUUAGAUGCAAAUCUUGUGCAAAUCUUGGGGUAUGAAUAAAACCACAGAUUUUCUCCGGCAUCAAUCUGGGUAUGCCAACCACCAGGCACUGUGCAUGCAGAUCAGCCUGUUUAUGAAGCUGCAUCAAACACCUUUUUUCCUCAGAGUAACAGAAACACCUCAUUCUCUCAAGGUCUGGAUUUGCUUGUUUUGAAUAUUGUUACUUUGAUUCAGUUUCAAAUUAUUGCACAACUCUAGUUGUGUAUGGUAAUCAUAAGGGACUUGGUUAUGUAAAUCUGCGUGUGUGUGUAAGCCAAUCUGUCUUCCUGCAGUCUCUCAGGAGCUCUGAAUGUGAGGCUACGCAGAGCCAAUAAGGAGGUUGCGUGUUGAUAACUUGUUUUUGAAAGCUAUUUAGGACUGAUAAGCACACACAGGGUUUGUAUCAUCCAAGAAAAUGUUAUCUUUAUUUGACUUUUUCCCCUUUUUAAGUGUUUAAAACUAAUUUUCGAAACAAUAAAACUGAUCCAAAGAAUAGACUGAGCAUUUGGAUGGAGUGUGAACAUCAAUCUUGACAUACUAAAUCAUUGACAAGCUCUACUGUCCUGCAGCAAACCUACCAAGGCCACCUUUAGUUGGCUGACUAAUAAUGUGGCAGAGGUAGCCCUGAGAUUUGAUGGAGGAGGGAAAACUACAAGGCAGAAGAUUGGAUUUAAUGCUGUGUGGCUGCUUUUUAUUUCAUAAUUCAGAGCUAACCAACAGAGGCACACUAGCUGUCACUGUUAUGGAUUCUGCAGACACUAUAGCGACUGGGGGAGUAGUUAAAAAUGAGUGAAGAGGGAAAAGCACAGCAGAAUAUGGAUCCAAGAUUCAACUUGACAGAGACCCCGUUUGACGAGACAUUUGGAGUCCUAAACAGCUGCAGAAUAUGAAGCUGAUACCUUAGUUGAAAGCCAUGCUUGCAGAUUAAAUCACUCCAAAUCACUCUAAAUGGUCAAUUCAAGGGUCAAGGUCAAGUCAUGGUAGUCCUGAUAGUUAAGGGCAAAGCUUUCAGAAAUUAUAUUUUAUGAAAAUGUGCAAAUUCUCAAAAAUGUUGUCUAAUUUUCUUAUUAAACUUCACACGACGAUGGGGAACUUUUGGUUCAUGAUAAAUGUGAUACGAGGGACAAACUGGCAUCUCAUCCAGCAGCGAUUUCAGUCGUUAAAAAAAUCAAAUAGAUAUAAUUUCUUGGAGGUGGUGGUCUUAUUUGGUUUUCUAGCCCUUAAAGAAGAAUUAGUAAGAACUUCAGACUUUUUCAAAAACAGAUAAAAUAUCAUCACAGGAGUUUUAAGAUUAACUAAGACAUGAAGAAGCAGGCACAAAAUGCUUGCUUAAAGUACAAACAAUGUAGAAACUGGCUGACAUAAAGGCUACUGCUUCCUGUCUGGCUUGCAACAUCACUCAACUGAAUACUGAAAUUUCACUGUCACUCGUGCAUCAUGAUACGUAUUAUAUUUUCAACACUGAAUCUUGCAAAAAUACUGUCCCCCUAAUAAAAAACACAGGUAAAAGUCAGGAAUAACAAAACAAUUGCUGUUUUUGAUGCACUUAAAGUCACCCCAGUAAACUGGAAGUGAAAUCUACAAAGAAAACAAGAAGAAGGUAGGCAGUUUUUUCACACAGUAUGUGCUGAUUUAUUUAAAAUGUAAAUAAAAUAUUGAUUGUUUUCACAGAAAAACGCACGUGCCUCCACAAUGACUUCGGAUCAAAGAGAAAGACCAACUGUUGCCUCUUUUAUUCCCACCGGGCCUUUUUAAUUAGAAAUCUCUUUUAACAGGGUGGAAUCUGUCUUCAGGGGAUGACGCGAGUUUUUUUAAACCAUGAAAAUCUUAAACAGCUGUCUUUACUGCGCUUAAGAUCUUAAUUAAUCUUAAUGGUGCCAUAAACUAUAUGAUAUUAAUAUUAAAGCCUCCACAGCAGCCGUGUUGAACUCAAGUCUGAGCAACAAGAAAAUAUCUCACUCUGCCUCACAUUUGCAAGUGGCAGUAAGAAGGUUAAUAUGAUGCUGGCCUGCUCCACAUUGUUACAAUGAUGGCGUUGCUAUUAUGUACAGUGGGUACAGCAUCAAAUAACCUCGCUCAUUAUUCAAAUCACACUUGCCAUUAAACCAAUGGUGAAGUCAUUCAGAGUCCCUCUGGGAACAAUUAGGAUUUGGCGAAUGGUGGCCUUUGUUAUUAACCAGCCUUGGGCAAAGACACACUAAGCAAAUAAAACCACAGGCCUCCCACGACUAUGGAAGAAUUACCUCAAUCUGCAACACAAGCUGAAGCUGGGGAUGUAAUUUCCUGAGACCCCCUCACCAGAAGGAGCUCUCGUACUUGCCUGCUAAUACACAGAUAUCUAGAGCUGGCACUUUAUGUCUAUAUAGUGGAAUAUCAUGGCAGAAAAGAAACAUACUGCAGUUAUGACGUACUCAACCUAGAUUAAUUUCACAUUUGCUAUUUUAUGCACCUGCUCAUGGAGGUUUCUCUUGAACUUUCACAAUAGGGGGCACAGCAUUAUUCUUUCAGCUAGAAGCCAUUUGCUGAAUGACUGCCUUGCACAUUGAAAAAUAAAAAAAAACAAACUUGCUGCCAUGGGAAUGGGCAAAUUACACCCACAACCAUGCUGCACAAAUGAUCAUUAGGAAUGUAAUUACUGGGAUCCCAUCACGUUUGAAAUUCAUCUGCAGAAGUGGAUUGCCAGUAAGCACUCAUGGAGGGGAUUGUGCGGUGUGAAAAUGUUCUGGGUUCGUAAAAAAGUACCAUUAGUUUUAUUCCUGAAUGUGAAUCCAUGUUUCUUUAUGAAUAAUCAUGGGUAGUUCAUUGCUUUUUGCUUAAAGAUAUGGGUGUAUGAUGAUUUUACUACAUGUAACAGCAUGUUUUUGGUGUUUUUUUUAAAUGUAAUGUAAUGUGAAACAUUUUGGAUCAGCCACCGCUGGGUUUUGGCUGGAAUGAAAAAGUACUUUUACUCCAUAAUGGGCGUUGUAAUUUAAGCAGAGACUAUAAUGUCAAACAAGCACACAGCAACAACUCAUGCACACAAUUUAUUUAAACGAGGGACUGUGUUAGCAUCAAGGCAGAGUAAACUGUCAUAACAGAGUAUUUAUCAUGCCAUGCUAAGGAGCUCUACAGACCAGCUGAGAGCCUUCACUUUCCAUGACCUCAUUUUGUUUGGUCUCCUGCAGGAGGCCUGGCGUGGUUUGUUGACCUCAUUUCUGCGGGGUGCGAGUCUGCCGAUGGAUCGACAUUCGCAAGCUGCAACAGUUACUGAAAAAAGGGUAGGUCUAUUCCACUGGGAGAACUGAUAACUUGUGAUUCUUUCCCCAAGUGAGGAAGAAAUGGGCCUGGUGCCAUCAGCUGCAAAUAAAGAGGUUGACCUUAACGCGUAGAUGCGUGAAUGAGAAAUUGCCAACCUUGUUCUCCGUCAAAGAGUGAUAAAACCUUGUGGAGCCAUUUUAAAAUUAAGUUCUAGUUCAGUUCAAGACGACCGAGGAAUCUUUAAGACACCAAUUUGCAGCAUAAAGGAAACAUGGAGAGCUUCCUCUCAGGCAGCUCUAUGACAAGAUAAAAACGUAAUUCCCCAAGGUCAACCAAGAACACGGACCGGAAUUUCACAAGAAACAGAUAAAGGCUGUUUCAGUCUGACUUAAAUGUGUCAUUUAAAUUUGAAGUACUUCUGGUAAUAUUGGUCCAAUUACUUUAAAAACUUAAGAUAUUUCUAAAGAAAGAAAGAAAAAACACCAAGAGGAAAGAAUAGGGGAUUAGCUGCAGCAAAGAGUCAAACCUUUGGGUUCAAAACGGAGCUGCUAUGUUGAAGGCUGUAGCCUCUGUACACGUGCAACAUGCUCCUAAUUCUGGAUCAACCCUUUCUAGCAUUACAUGAAAUAGUGUAACAGUAUUACACUCACUGGUUUACAUAAUAUUCAUCAGAGGUGUCCGUAGCAUCUAAUUACACUUUCAGGGAGUAGACUAGUCCGAAGGCUGGAUACUGGGAGUCUUUGGUUGUUAUGAACACGUCAUAAUUUUCCACAUAGUAUGGCGGUAGAUCAUGACUGAGUUGUUUGAAUUACGUUUGAACUAUGCAGACUGUCUGAUGUAGUUCAGCACUUGCUCCAGCAGAGGGUGCUCUCAGCGUAACUUAACUGUUGCAUGCAUUCUCGAUGUCAAUAAACGAAUACAGUGACGUUUCUUCUACAAAAAAUGGAGAUCACGCAUAAAACAAAAAACCAAAACCAGAACCUACUUCAUGAUUGUCUUGCUUUGUAUCAUUGCUUUUUGAGUGGAAUCCAUAACUGCAAGCAGCACAUGUUUACUUGGCUCACAAAACUAAGAGCAUUUGACUUAUCAGGUCUCUUUGAUCACAUACAUGCAUAAUUAAUACUACAGGCAGUUUCUCAGGAGCAUCAAUAAUCACAUACACUGUUUACCCAUUAAGCUACUCUCUUGAAGAAACAGGCUCUGGUGGCCGGUAAAACCACAUUACAGCCUCCUCAGACACAACAUUUAACUAGACCUAUGAGCGUAUAUUAAUAAAGAUAUCAUCAAUGUAAGUGAGGUUCCCGAUAAUUAAUAUGUCACACCAAACACCUGCAAAACUAAUGGCAUCCCCAUCUGUAAUUUGUCCGAAGCACAUAAGCAGAUGUUUGCAUGCUAACACGCACCGUUUACCAUGUCAACAUGGUGCACUGUGAUGCAGUUUCGUUAUGAAUAUGUUCGCAAGGUGACUGAAAUAUUGUUCCCAAGUUAUACCAGAGCCCAAGCAGAGCUCCAAAAACAUGACAGCAGAACUGUAAUGAGACGCAACAACUUUUAAAAAUAAUAAAAAUCAGAUAUUGUUUUCCCUUUUGGUUGACAGGCAGUUCUGUUUCAUCUAGGACCACACCCAAACUGAUGUCACAGCAUAGUGACACAGCCUUGAGCACACUUUUACAUCAAAGCAGCAAGAUCAGAAGUCGAAUCACUCAAAGUCAAUAAAGAAGGGUUUUCAGGAGGUGAUGAGUCACUCUGUAACAAAGAUGCUUCACCUAUCCUCUGUUUUAAAAUUAUAUUAUGUGAAGCAAUACUUGAUUCGCACAUUCAGAUAGUCAUUCUAUUGUCCGUCAAUGUUCAAAAAAUAUGUUUAUUCCUCAGCACAAGUCCUGCGUUGGAAAUUUCUGACUAAACUAAGUGUUUUCCAGGUGUCUGUGACUAUAGAAGUUGUGAGACUGGCGUGCAUGUUAGGCAAAAGCACUGCUUGCACAACUGUUCCCUCUCUAUGUGUUCAGUUAAGUGAUUUUAGAUUACUUUCAGUGGGUGGCAACACGACAUGUUUCAGGCUAUAACGGUAUAUUGUUCAGAACUACUUGGAAGUCCUUCAUGAUUACUUUUUCCAGCUACAGAUUUCUGCAUUCUGCACUGCAAGCACAUUUUCACACUGACAAGAAAAUGCUGGUGUGUGGUACAAGCUUUCUUGAAGGGAGUUUGUGUUUUUCAAAGAUGUACCUUAAAGAGCUGUAGGCUUUUUGUUCUCAUUUGUCUUUGGUAAUAGUAAUGCGUAUUGUAUAGGCUGACAAAGAAGCUUUUGUUGUGUUUCUAUCAAACAGGUCCAGGAUUAUAAGUCCAGCUGCUGCAGCCUCCAGCUUUGUGCUUGUGUCUCAGAGGAGCAGAGAGGUUUUCAUUCUCUUGCAGCCUGCCAGCGCCGAGCAGUAAAAUGCAACUUUUCUCUGGCAUUUUGGACAGAGCUUCCACCUCUAGCCAUCUGUCCCUGCCUCUAUUCCUGUACAUCCACUGCCCUUAUCUGUUCCCCCCACUGUUCCUCCUGCUAAUUACUCUCCCCUUUCUCACCCCACUUCUCUUUUGUCUCAGUAACUCUCUCCCCGUCUUCUUUCCUACACCUUCCUCUGUGUUUGUGCUCCCAAACGUCCCUGUUGGCUGCAGCGGUCAGCCAUGCUGAGCUUCAGGGGUUGCUUUAACUGCUCACAAGACUCAUGGGAUGAACUGCAGGAC